rnacentral:lncRNA from 1 species
AUGUUUGCGAACAGGUGUGCUGUAGCUGUGAUGUCGGAGAAAGGCGGGGCAAAGCCCAAUGAGGGGCUCAUGGUGAUGCAGGAGCUGGAGGACAGGCUGAACGAACACAUUGACAAACUGGAGCACAUCCGCCUGAGUGCCACCGAGCUCAAGGAUAAUUUGUCUGGGAACCAUGCUGACCUCAAGCAGUCCAUUUCUGACCACCUUGACUGGCUGAGUCAACUCGGUGAACGUGUGGAAACGCUUCAGAUGAACACUGCUGUCUUUGUGCAGAUGAACACCAAGCCUCGAACCUGGGGCAGCAAGCAAGGGUCCCGGCGCUCUGCUCACGUGGGGCCCCUUCAACCAGCCCCUGGUGAUGAUGCUCAGUCUGAGUUUGGGUGGUCGCCUGUGCGUACGAGACGCAGCAGCGAUGCGGCGUCUGAGAUGUCCUGUGCCUGGUAACCAAGUGUGUGACUGAGCAUUUGAAAAAACAGGUCACACACUGGAGCAGGGCUGCCCAAGAGUGUAAAAAUAAAGUACAGUUACAGUAUUGUGAAAGAGUAUUU